CCGAGGGUGUGUUACCUCUGGAGCAAACGUGUCGUGCAAUCAAAGCAAUACAAAGUAAUACUUCUCAUAUUGGGUGUCCUAACUGAGCACUGAACACUACAUGUACUGUUGUUGACUAACAUUAUUGCACAACCUUCGCUUCUUCGGACACCAGUCGAAGCGGUCAAACCAGAAUAUAGUUCGGACGUCUGACCGGUCGGUGUAAAGCAAGCUUCUGGAAUAGGAGAGCUUUUGGAUUUCGAUUGAAAGCUAGCUGUGUAGAUCGAGAAUAUAACUUUGAAGGAAUUAUGAAGCGAGGGGCGUGUUUGUUUGUGCUAUUUACCUUGCUCUUGUUGGGCUUCAGUGACGGGGCCCCAUACCAGGCACGGGAUGGAGAGCUGUCUCAUCGUAAUCAGCAAGGAUAUGCCAAAAAGACGGAAAUGAAGUUGUCACCACUUCUUCUCAAGAUGAAGCAAGAAGCUGAUACUAUUCUUGGCCAGCGGUCUAAAAGAUCACCUUCCAGGGAGAUGGUUAGAAAAUAAAAAUAACGUUUUUAUUUCUUUCUCAAUACUCCUGUGUCAUCAUCUGCAGCAAGCACUCAUCUCUUUCAACGCAACGUGGAACAUAAUCAUGGGGAUAUCGUUCAGAAUCAGAGGCGGAAUGGUAAUAAAUUGAAAUUUGGUUUGGGAAUUUUUAUAUGACCGACCCACUCAAACUAUAAGAUUUUGAUUAACCGGUCCUCAACUUAGGAUCAAGGGGAGACUGGUUAUUAAUUUAAAUUUUGUUGGGGAUUUAAACCCGACAGACCCACUAAAACUUAAAGAAUGUGAUCAACCGGCCCUCAGACCACAAACGGACAAGCCCACAACUGAAAAUACCAAGAGUCCUUCGGGAAAAGCCCUAACCUCCCCAUGGCCAGUACGCCCUUGACAAGGAUAUCGUCAUGUCAUCUACAUGCAUCUUCUUAGCAUACUUAUUUUUUUUCCCCCUUUUUUUUUGGGGGGGGGGGGUAUACUCAUCUGCAAAUUUGAUAACAACGUAUGUAAAGGUUUUUAGUAUUGUUCUAAAGCUGUAUGAUUUGUGUUGAUAUAAUUAAUUAUUGAUAACUUGCACGGCUGUAAUCUCUUUUGCACAGUAGCCUUUUUGCACACUAGUAAGUAAUCUCAUUGUGUUAAGAUCAUGCAAAGUGAUUGACCUUACUGCCAAUUUGAGUGAUCGACUCCCAUAUAUCGACCGAUUUGUGGCUAUUCCGUGUGAUGCAAUGUUUAUCGGUCUGUUGACGAUCUAGCAACGAUCUCAUUAGUUUUACUGGAUCAUUGGCAUAACUUAUUCGUAGUGCAUGCUAAAAUAAAUCACAAUAAUAAGCCAGGAAAGCUUGUGUGCAAGAAUAACAUUUAAUUGGCAAUCCACUAACAAAACGAUUAAAAUAAAUGAACAGAUUUAUAGACAACUUGAGUCACGUGGUACAUGAAUACAUCUAGAAGCCAGUUCCAGAAGAAUAACAAUAUUCUCAAGAUGAUGACAUGGUUAACGAAUUCCAUGAAUGUUUAAGAUUUAUUUUUUCACUCCCAAACUUAAAUUGGUGUUUAAUUGGCCGUUAAAUUUAAUACACCUUUUUUGUAUAAAAUGAGUAUAAUGUUUCCCAUAAAGUUUGAAUGAUUUUUUGUUAACCUCUUUUCCUUAAAAGAUUGUGACAACAUGAUUUAUUCUUCAUAGAUGGUUGAUUUUCUACACAGAACUUUAUCGAACAAUCUCUAUGACUUUUUAGAAUGAUCAAUAAAGUUCUGUGAAUAUUGUCUAUCAGAGAAAAGAUCAAAUUGUCAUAAUCAUUUCAUUAAAGGGGCAACACAAUUUAUUCAAAAUGUAUGGCGCCAGUGUACAUGUACCAAUAAUCAGGAUCCCCAUUCGAAAUUCCUUCGCAUAUUUUGGUCAUAGUGUUGUUUGAAUACACGUCUUAAUGCUUCAUUGCCUUCGCCCACUGAUUUGAGUUUGGUAUUGAGUUUGGUAUUGUACAGCACAUAUAUUCAGUUAGUUGUCUUCACAUACUGCAAGGUGUCAGGUAUGGUGUGUUCACACUUAAAUUUAAUCGCAUUCUACAGGUGAUCGCACCAAGAUACUAUGUUGAUUCGAUAUACUUAUUAAAUGACCACUGGUUACUCACUAUUUCGUAUGGAAUGGAAUGAUGAUGACUUGAUUUUAUAUAUUAUUUCAUUGUUAAUCUUAAUAAUUGUAUUCACUCAACAAUCAAUAGCCUUUGCCAUUGUCCAUCAUGCAAACCCUAAAAGCGUAGUCAUAUUACAACUCGUACCGUUACAUGACAUUACUGAUAACUUUCUGAAACAUAGAAUAUCACAAACUGAUAGGUAUUAACAGCCGGCUCUAUUUUGUUACAUGAUUUCAAACAUUGCAUAUAUGAUUAAAAAUGGAGAAACAAUUAAAUAUACAGUGUACAGUUCAAUUGUUGUUUACGUUUGUAUUUUAACCUGUUCUAAAACAUAUAACCGAUAAUCAUAGACAAGUCAAAAGUAUGUUCCCAUACGUUAUCAACCACUCACAUAUCUUAUAAACCUGAUGAUUACGUUUAUAAGCCUAACCUAUCUUGGAUAAAACCAAAUGCCUAGAUUUUUUUAUUUUGAAGUUGAUCAUGUUCUGUAUUUCCUGAUAAUUUGAAAAUUGUCAUUAAACGAAUAUGCUUUGACUAGUUUGUUUUACCUGACUGCUAUUAAAGUAAGCAUAUGUAUGCUUGUAAUUAAUCAGUUAGGGCACCGAAGGCUUUAGGUCCUCUCCGAGGGACUUUUAAUGAGGAUCAAUUGCCUUACCCAAGGGCACUGGCACAUCGACUCAGUUUUGAAGUCGGGACCUCCCGGUUACCAGACCGAUGCUCUAUCACUUAGCCAUUGUGCUUCUAAAAUUUGAUACUAGGUAUUCCGUACGGGGCGUAAAUACCUUGGACCUGACCUAGACUGAAUAGAGUAAUACACAUCCAUACUUAACACAACCUGUUGCCAUAAAAAAGCGGUUUUAUAUUCCUAUUUCUUUGUUGUAUUUCUAUGCAAGCCAGACUGGCUUGGGAAGUGAACGGGUCGCUGAAAUUUUCGGAUCAUUUGCCCUGAAUGAUUAUUGAAUUUGUUAAUACCGUAUCUGCAAUUGUUCCCUACUCGACCAAAAAAA